UCUGUCAUUGCCAACCAAAAUCUGCUUCUUGCCACUUUUCUAAAUGGAAACCCACCGAGCGUGACUAAGAGGCCUCUCUGCACCGCCAUGCAGAACGUUCCGCCAAUUACCCGAAAUCAAAGAUGGUUGUUGUUAGGAUUUUUUUCUCACGUACCCUGGGACUGAGUCAGACGCGACAUACAUCCAGCUCCGGCUGCACAGCGCUUACUGGACACCUGUGUCUAACCACACGCUCAUUAAAAGGCAGACGACUCCAGGAAGUGGAGACCUUAAUCUGUGGCUUAGACAAAAGGAGGGAAAGAGAUUCCCAGAGGGAAACCGGCUGGAAUGUGACAUGCACGUCGCGGUCCGUGUGUGGAGAUGAGCAGCAGACCCGUAUUUCGAGGCCAGAUUAGAUCUGGUGGGGGUUUUCAGCCCGAGGAGACAAGAUAAAUGAACACAAUUUGUGCUCCUUUGUUAUUUCCAGCGUUGGCCGUUUCCCUGACCUCCAGCGGGCCGGUGGAGAGAGACAGUGCUUGGUGCCUGAUCGCAGUGAUCUGGACGCGAUCUAAUGAGGCCAUCUUUCAGCGCGGCUAUGAGGAGUCAUGCGUCUGACUGCGUCGGUCCGCUCAUGGUCGUCUGGAUAAGUAAAAUCAAUAGAGGCAGUGAGAGGAACAGCUGGUGACGCCUCCUGGUGGGAGCUUGUUCGUACACCUGCAGAGCAGUGCUGGCCUAUGACUCCUCCAGGCUCAACUCACAAAGAUUUACACCAAGUGCAGCCGUCCUGUUUUUGGACCCGUGUACAGAUGGCUAUUUCUGUAGGAUGAUGAGACCCACACACUUUCACAUGGGAGCAUAUCAGUUGUAGGAGACAUCGUGAAUGCAGCUGAAAUGAACUCGCUUCCCCCAUGGCCCCCUGUGACAUCGUCCACUAUGUUUAUGUGUUUCUAUGUUUAUCUGAGUGUGCUGCUACCAAGCUUAAUGCUGGCAUCAUUGAGGUAACAGAUGCGAGCGGACCUCCCACCAAUCACACAGUGGAAACAGGUGUCACAUGACCACUCUGCAAUAAAAC